GUCCCUGUAGAGUAAUGGAUAGCGUGUUGGACUUAUUAUCCAGAAGUCGUAGGUUCGAAUCUUACCUGGGAUG